UACAGAGGGUGCGAGCGUUAAUCGGAAUUACUGGGCGUAAAGCGUGCGCAGGCGGUGAUGUAAGACAGAUGUGAAAUCCCCGGGCUCAACCUGGGAACUGCAUUUGUGACUGCAUCGCUGGAGUACGGCAGAGGGGGAUGGAAUUUCGCGUGUAGCAGUGAAAUGCGUAGAUAUGCGGAGGAACACCGAUGGCGAAGGCAAUCCCCUGGGCCUGUACUGACGCUCAUGCACGAAAGCGUGGGGAGCAAACAGG
rnacentral:rRNA from 1 species